ACUCCUACGGGAGGCAGCAGUGGGGAAUAUUGCACAAUGGGCGCAAGCCUGAUGCAGCCAUGCCGCGUGUAUGAAGAAGGCCUUCGGGUUGAUAAAGUACUUUUCAGGCAGAUGAGAAGGUGGGUAUGUUAAUAGCAUACUCAUUUGACGUUAGCUGCAGAAGAAGCACCGGCUAACUCCGUGCCAGCAGCCGCGGUAAUACGGAGGGUGCGAGCGUUAAUCGGAAUUACUGGGCGUAAAGCGCAUGCAGGUGGUUUGUUAAGUCAGAUGUGAAAGCCCGGGGGCUUCAACCUCGGGAAAUUUGCAUUUUGAAAACUGGGCAAACUAGAGUACUGUAGAGGGGGGGUAGAAUUUUCAGGUGNAGCGGUGAAAAUGCGUAGAGAUCUGAAGGAAUACCGGUGGNGAAGGCGGCCCCCCUGGACAAGAUACUGACACUCAGAUGCG
rnacentral:rRNA from 1 species